GAUGAACGCUGGCGGCGUGCCUAAUACAUGCAAGUCGAGCGAACAGAUGAGGAGCUUGCUCCUCUGACGUUAGCGGCGGACGGGUGAGUAACACGUGGAUAACCUACCUAUAAGACUGGGAUAACUUCGGGAAACCGGAGCUAAUACCGGAUAAUAUAUUGAACCGCAUGGUUCAAUAGUGAAAGACGGUUUUGCUGUCACUUAUAGAUGGAUCCGCGCCGCAUUAGCUAGUUGGUAAGGUAACGGCUUACCAAGGCAACGAUGCGUAGCCGACCUGAGAGGGUGAUCGGCCACACUGGAACUGAGACACGGUCCAGACUCCUACGGGAGGCAGCAGUAGGGAAUCUUCCGCAAUGGGCGAAAGCCUGACGGAGCAACGCCGCGUGAGCGAUGAAGGUCUUCGGAUCGUAAAACUCUGUUAUUAGGGAAGAACAAAUGUGUAAGUAACUAUGCACGUCUUGACGGUACCUAAUCAGAAAGCCACGGCUAACUACGUG
rnacentral:rRNA from 1 species